UAAUUAAAGGGCUGCAGUAUAUUGACUGUACAAAGGUAGCAUAAUCAUUAGUCUUUUAAUUGGAGACUUGUAUGAAAGAUUUAAUGAAAUAUAAACUGUCUCUAUUUUAUUAGUAAAAUUUAAUAUUUUAGUUAAAAAGCUAAAAUAAAAUUAAAAGACGAGAAGACCCUAUAGAGUUUUAUAUUUUAUUUUAUUGUAAUAAAAUAUAUAAUUAAUUAUUAUAAUAAAAUAAAAUAUUUCAUUGGGGUGAUGAAAAAAUUUAAUAAACUUUUUUUUUUAUUUGACAUGAAUAAGUGAUUAAAUGAUCCAUAAUUUUAUGAUUAUAAGAAAAAAUUACCUUAGGGAUAACAGCGUAAUAUUUUUUUUUAGUACAAAUAAAAAAAAAAGUUUGCGACCUCGAUGUUGGAUUAAGAUAAAAAUUAAAUGCAAAAGUUUAAAAUUUU
rnacentral:rRNA from 1 species